rnacentral:rRNA from 1 species
CCUACGGGUGGCAGCAGUGGGGAAUAUUGGGCAAUGGGCGCAAGCCUGACCCAGCAACGCCGCGUGAAGGAAGAAGGCUUUCGGGUUGUAAACUUCUUUUGUCAGGGACGAAGCAAGCGACGGUACCUGACGAAUAAGCCACGGCUAACUACGGGCCAGCAGCCGCGGUAAUACGGAGGUGGCAAGCGUUCUCCGGAUGUAUUGGGUGUAAAGGGCGUGUAGGCGGGAAUGCAAGUCAGAUGUGAAAACUAUGGGCUCAACCCAUAGCCUGCAUUUGAAACUGUAUUUCUUGAGUGCUGGAGGGGCAAUCGGAAUUCCGGGUGUAGCGGUGAAAUGCGUAGAUAUACGGAGGAACACCAGUGGCGAAGGCGGAUUGCUGGACAGUAACUGACGCUGAGGCGCGAAAGCGUGGGGAGCAAACAGGAUUAGAUACCCUUGUAGUC